rnacentral:rRNA from 1 species
AACGAACGCUGGCGGCAGGCUUAACACAUGCAAGUCGAACGCCCCGCAAGGGGAGUGGCGCACGGGUGCGUAACGCGUGGGAACAUGCCCGUAGGUGCGGAACAACGUCGGGAAACUGACGCUAAUACCGCAUAAUAUCUCCGGAACAAAGAUUUAUUGCCUAAGGAUUGGCCCGCGUUAGAUUAGGUAGUUGGUGGGGUAAUGUCCUACCAAGCCGACGAUCUAUAGCUGGUCUGAGAGAAUGAUCAGCAACACUGGAACUGAGACGCGGUCCAGACUCCUACGGGAGGCAGCAGUGAGGAAUAUUGGACAAUGGGGGAAACCCUGAUCCAGCCAUGCCGCGUGAGUGAUGAGGGCCUUAGGGUUGUAAAGCUCUUUUAGAUGGGAAGAUAAUGACUGUACCAUCAGAAUAAGCCCCGGCUAAAUUCGUGCCAGCCGCCGCCGUAA